AUGGCAGCUAGCCUCCACUUCCACACUGACCCGUCGCGCCGCCCCCGUGAGAGCCACAAGGUCAUCAUCUCCACCCCGGCCGUAGAGCGCCAGGAGUCCAUCCUCCGCCACCACGCUGUGCUGCUUUCAGCCGUCGACAAGUUGCGCCCCACAAACCCCAUGGCCGUUGGCAAGGCGCUUGAGGCGCAGCUGCGCAUCCCUCCGCACCUCCUGAGGGUCACCUACCACCACCCGGAGGAUUUCCUCGUUCGCUUCAACCUUCCUGCGCACCACGACCUGGCCGUCCGCCAGGGCACGGUG
rnacentral:rRNA from 1 species